rnacentral:piRNA from 1 species
UGAGCGCCGCUGUCAAGUCCCAUUCC